GGUAGCAUCUUACCUUUGGCCCCUCGCAGCACGAACCCGAAGCCUUCAUUCUCCUUCUUGGUCAAGACCACCGUCUUCUCCUCGACCACGCAGUCGCUGUGGAGAAAAUUCCGCGCAAAGCGCCCGUUAUUACAGCCCAUCAUCCGCAUCACGGCCACAGCCGCCCGCCCUGAGUGCAGGUUCAUCGCGGUAAGCUACUCUGGGCAGCCCCCGACGGAGGGGCUCCUUGCCUCGGCCCCUUUUAGCUCAAAUGAAGUGCAUGACAACGCUGGCAGUGGCAGUCCGGCGCCCGCAUCUCCAGAAAAGCCGCCGCUCCGCUCCUCUGCGGCCGAAAACCACUCGGGGGAGCGACAAGCGGAGGCCGGAGAUGGCGACGAAGUCGAAGCGUGACGUCGGAUAGAAGCAGCAUUACCGACUAAAUAAAUAAUGAUGAAAGCGUGGCUUGGCGCGGAGGAGGGGCGGAGAAAAGGAACGGAUAGUGGCAGGCAGUUAGGAGUCCUGGGCGAGGAGUGCGCGCAACGAAUGAGAGAAGAGAAAGAGAGAAGGGAGAGCGUGACCAGCAUGGCAGUGCGCGGGCACGAAAACAGGAGGCCAUGCAUGAGUGAUUGACCCUUUCACUCGAGUCGAGAGGUGGGUGUCCUCCCACUCAGUGGCGUGGGGUGGCGGUGGGUGACACAGAGGGACGCAGCCCGCAUGCGCUUGCAUUACAUUUUUCAUUAAUGUAAUGCAAGGCGACAGAUGCGCACAAGCAACGCGACGAGAGAAAUGGAGAGGGAAGGAAAAGAUAUUCAGGAGUGGCCGUCCUGCAAAGAUGACUGCAAGAGCACAGCGCAGAAUGCUCAAUGAGGUUAAGAAGAAUCCUAGAGUGUCAGCUAAAGACUCUCUGGAACAUGCUAUCAUCUCUGUUGACGAGUCUAAGAUACGUAAAACACUAAACAAUAAUGGUGUUCAUGGGAGGACAACAUGGAAGAAGCCACCACUGUCCAAAAAAACAUUGCUGCACGUCUGAAGUUUACAAAAGUGCACCUGGAUGUUCCACAGCGCUACUGGCAAAAUAUUAUGUGGACAGAUGAAACUGCAGUUGAGUUGUUUGGAAGGAACACACAACAAUGUGUGGAGAAAAAAAGGCACAGCACACCAACAUCAAAACCUCAUCCCAACUGUAAAGUAUGGUGGAGGGAGCAUUAAUGUUUGGGGCUGCUUUGCUGCCUCAGGGCCUGUACAGCUUGCUAUCAUCGCCGAAAACAUGAAUUCCCAAGUUUAUCAAGACAUUUUGCAGAAGAAUGUUAGGCUAUCUGUCCGCCAAUUGAAGCUCAACAGAAGUUGGGUGAUGCAACAGGACAACGACCCAAAACACAGAAGUAAAUCAACAACAGAAUGGCUUCAACAGAAGAAUAUACGCCUUCUGGAGUGGCCCAGUCAGAGUCCUGACCUCAACCCGAUUGAGAUGCUGUGGCAUGACCUCAAGAGACCAGUUCACACCAGACAUCCCAAUAAUAUUGCUGAACUGAAACAGUUUUUUAAAGAGGAAUGGUCCAAAAUUCCUCCUGACCGUUGUGCAGGUCUGAUCCACAACUACAGAAAACGUUUGGUUGAGGUUAUUGCUGCCAAAGGAGGGUCAACCAGUUAUUAAAUCCAAGGUUUCACAUACUUUUUCCACCCUGCACUGCAAAUGUUUACACGGUGUGUUCAAUAAAGACAUGAAAACAUAUAGUUUGUGUGUUAUUAGUUUAAGCAGAUUGUGUUUGUCUAUUGUUGUGACCUAGAUGAAGAUCAGAUCAAAUUUGAUGACCAAUUUAUGCAGAAAUCCAGGUAUUUGCAAAGGGUUUACAUACUUUUUCUUGCCACUGUAUAUUCUGUGUAUUGCUACUGUAUAUUCUAAACAAAAAACAUUUGUCAUAAGAAACUAGCUCCCUGGUAUACAGAAAAUACCCGAGCUCUGAAGCAAGCUUCCAGAAAAUUGGAACGGAAAUGGCGCUAAACCAAACUGGAACUCUUCCGACUAGCUUGGAAAGACAGUACUGUGCAGUAUCGAAGAGCCCUCACUGCUGCUCGAUCAUCCUAUUCCAACUUAAUUGAGGAAAAUAAGAACAAUCCAAAAUUAAUUUCAUUGAUACUGUUGCAAAGCUAACUAAAAAGUAGCAUUCCCCAAGAGAGGAUGGCUUUCACUUCAGCAGUGAUAAAAUCAUGAACUUCUUUGAGGAAAAGAUCAUGAUCAUUAGAAAAAAUGAUUAGAAAAAAUUAUUAGAAAUUAAUCAUCAAAUUAUGGACUCCUCUUUAAAUCUGCAUAUUCCGCCAAAGCUCAGUUGUCCUGAGUCUGCACAACUCUGCCAGGACCUAGGAUCAAGGGAGACAGUCAAGUUUUUUAGUACUAUAUCUCUUGACACAUUGAUGAGCAUAGUCAUGGCCUCUAAACCUUCAAGCUGCAUACUGGACCCUAUUCCAACUAAACUACUGAAAGAGCUGCUUCCUGUGCUUGGCCCUCCUAUGUUGAACAUAAUACAGGGUCCAGAAAGCUCUCUAUCCACCGGAUGUGUACCAAACUCACUAAAAGUGGCAGUAAUAAAGCCUCUCUUAAAAAGCCAAACCUUAACCCAGAAAAUAUAAAAAACUAUCAGCCAAAAUCGAAUCUCCCAUUCCUCUCCAAACAUUUUAGAAAAAGCUGUGCAGCAACUCACUGCCUUCCUGAAGACAAACAAUGUAUACGAAACGCUUCAGUCUGGUUUUAGACCCCAUCAUAGCACUGAGAUUGCACUUGUGAAGGUUGUAAAUUACCUUUUAAUGGCGUCAGAUCGAGGCUCUGCAUCUGUCCUAGUGCUCCUAGACCUUAGUGCUGCUUUUGAUACCAUCCUUCACCACAUUCUUUUGGAGAGAUUGGAAACCCAAAUUGGUCUACACGGACAAGCUCUGGCCUGGUUUAGAUCUUAUCUGUCGAAAAGAUAUCAGUUUGUCUCUGUGGAUGGUUUGUCCUCUGAAAAAUCAACUGUAAAUGUUCGUGUUCCUCAAGGCUCCGUUUUAGGACCACUAUUGUUUUCACUAUAUAUUUUACCUCUUGGUGAUGUCAUUCGGAAAGAUAAUGUUAACUUUCACUGCUAUGCGGAUGACACACAGCUGUAAUUUUCGAUGAAACAUGGAGUGGAUGGUGGAUGGCUGCAAAUGUUCAAAUUUAAACUUGGACAAAACAGAGAUGCUAGUUCUAGGUCCCAAGAAACAAAGAGAUCUUCUGUUGAAUCUGGCAAUUAAUCUUGAUGGUUGUAAAGUCGUCUCAAAUAAAACUGUGAAGGACCUCGGCGUUACUCUGUACCCUGAUCUCUCUUUUGACGAACAUGUCAAGACUGUUUCAAGGACAGCUUUUUUUCCAUCUACGUAACAUUACAAAAAUCAGAGACUUUCUGUCCAAAAAUGAUGCAGAAAAUUUAUCAAUGCUUUUGUCACUUCUAGAUUAGACUACCGCAAUGCUCUACUUUCCGGCUACCCGGAUAAAGCACUAAAUAAACUUCAGUUAGUUCUAAACACGGCUGCUAGAAUCUUGACUAGAACCCCCAAAUUUUAUCAUAUUACUCCAGUGCUAGCCUCUCUACACUUGGCUUCCUGUUAAGGCAAGGGCUGAUUUCAAGAUUUACUGCUAACCUACAACGCAUUACAUGGGCUUGCUCAUACCUAUCUUUCCGAUUUGGUCCUGCAAUACAUACCUACACGUACGCUACGGUCACAAGAAGCAGGCCUCCUUACUGUCCCUCGAAUUUCUAAGCAAACAGCUGGAGGCAGGGCUCUCUCCUAUAGAGCUCCAUUUUUAUGGAAUGGUCUGCCUAUCCAUGUGAGAGACGCAGACUUGGUCUCAACCUUUAAGUCUUUAUUAGGUCCUAUGAUUGAGUGUAGUCUGGCCCAGGAGUGUGAAGGUGAACGGAAAGGCACUGGAGCAACGAACCGCCCUUGCUGUCUCUGCCUGGCCGGUUCCCCUCUCUCCACUGGGAUUCUCUGCCUCUAACCCUAUUACAGGGGUUGAGUCACUGGCUUACUGGUGCUCUUCCAUAACGUCCCUAGGAGGGGUGCGUCACUUGAGUGGGUUGAGUCACUGACGUGAUCUUCCAUUCCAGGUUGGCACCCACCUUGGGUUGUGCCAUGGCGGAGAUCUUUGUGGGCUAUACUUGGCCUUGUCUCAGGAUGGUAAGUUGGUGGUUGAAGUUAUCCCUCUAGUGGUGUGGGGGCUGUGCUUGGCAAAGUAGGUGGGGUUAUAUCCUGGGUGGGGUUAUAUCCUGCCUGUUUGGCCCUGUCCGGGAGUAUUGUCGGACGGGGCCACAGUGUCUCCCGACCCCUCCUGUCUCAGCUUCCAGUAUUUAUGCUGCAGUAGUUUGUGUCAGGGGGCUAGGGUCAGUCUGUUAUAUCUGAAGUAUUUCUCCUGUCCUAUCCGGUGUCCUGUGUGAAUUUAAGUAUGCUCUCUUAAUUCUCUCUCUCUUUCUCUCUUUCUCUCUCUCGGAGGACCUGAGCCCUAGCACCAUGCCUCAGGACUACCUGGCCUGAUGACUCCUUGCUGUCCUCAGUCCACCUGGCCAUGCUGCUGCUCCAGUUUCAACUGUUUUGCCUUUGGCUAUGGAACCCUGACCUGUUCACCAGACGUCCUACCUGUCCCAGACCUGCUGUUUUCGACUCUCUAGAGACAGCAGGAGCGGUAGAGAUACUCUGAAUGAUCGGCUAUGAAAAGCCAACUGACAUUUACUCCUGAGGUGCUGACCUGCUGCACCCUCGACAACUACUGUGAUUAUUAUUAUUUGACCCUACUGGUCAUCUAUGAACAUUUGAACAUCUUGGCCAUGUUCUGUUAUAAUCUCCACCCGGCACAGCCAGAAGAAGACUGGCCACCCCUCAUAGCCUGCUUCCUCUCUAGGUGUCUUCCUAGGUUCUGGCCUUUCUAGGGAGUUUUUCCUAGCCACCGUACUUCUACACCUGCAUUGCUUGCUGUUUGGGGUUUUAGGCUGGGUUUCUGUACAGCACUUUGUGACAUCAGCUGAUGUAAGAAGGGCUUUAUAAAUACAUUUGAUUGAUUGAUCAUCAUGACAUACCUACAUUUUUGUUAUGCUCAUUUCAGUUAGACUAUCGAUCAUGCCUCCUCUUUUAUUAAAGAGACGGAGUCCAGACAGACCUACACUACUUUAGGAAACUUUCUGAACUCACACACACACCCAUCAAAAUGACCCAUCAAUCAAAGCUACCAGCUCAUCUCAAACACAAGAGCAAAUCACAUUUCUCCUUUCCUGAAAAUGUAUCCUAUUAAAACCCAGGCCUACCUUUAAAUCCUGGCUGUAGGCUAUCAGAUAGUAGACUACAUUAGGAUAAUGCUAAAACAAUGUACCUAUCAAAUGAAUUGACAAGGCAGGUUUAAAGGGGAUUGGGAGAGAGACAUCUAUGCAAUAGUAGUCUAUGAAGAUGAAAUGAACAACCAUAAAAAAGGGAAACAACAUGCAACCUGUCCAUAUCUACAUUUUUGUGAAGCAAUUAGUGCUUAAAUUGACACCGCAUUUAAAUUUGAACGAGUGUAGGCUUAUACGAUAUCUUAAGUCUGUGUACCCACUUAUAUAUGUUGAAACGUUUUUUGUCUGUCUUGCAUAUUCAUUGUGAUAGUUUACCAAGGCCGAAUAUACAGGCUGGCAUACACAUUAUGCAUUAAUAGGCACAUAUAAAUUAGCCUAACUUCUAAUUUAGUCUAUAUAUCUUUCUGACUUCACUGUUCCCUUCUGUGCAAUUCUCCACUGGCAUCUCCACAGACUCACUAGCUUGAGUGGCCUCUCUCACAUUCACCUCUCUCUAUUCCUUAUUGCUCUUGAACGACUAGGCCAAUAAUGGACUUAAGGAGCCUAACAUUACUCCUUAUAGGACCUUACACGUUUUGUUUAUAGGCAAAUUGGCUCUGGCAGCCAAAACAGCCAAAUACUCCAUCUAAAUGUGAAUUGAUUCUCAACUGUGGUGUGGUUCUAGAGACAUAAAGGCCUCUACUUUCAUAUCACAUGAAAAUAAUUUGACAAAUGCAAAAUAUACUAUACACUUGCUGUACACUGUUUUAUGCCGUUUUAACACAGUUGCCUCCGACAGUAUUUUUCAGUGACAACACGUUUGUUGCGUCCGUCUUCUGUUUACACACAGGCGUUUGGAGACACAUAUAGCUAAUAUUCACAGGUAGUAGACUUUGUCUUCUGUCUGUUUUCCGUAAACAAGCGCCGUAACAUGUAAAUGUGGUGCGUGUGGGAACCCUAACCCGAUAAAGGUGUGUAGUAAUUUAACCUUUAGUUUUUUAGAAAAUAAUUAUGAAAGCUACUUUCCUAGGAUCUCCCGAGUGGCACAGCGGUCUAAGGCAUUGCAUUGCAGCAAUAGAGGUGUCACUACAGACCCGACAUCGAUCCUUGGCUGUAUCACAACCGGCCGUGCACUAUACCCUCCACUGUACUGUAGUGUGCCCAAUAUAAAACAAAACAACCCUCCCCAAAGGAAAGAAAAAAGUUGCAUCCCCCUCCCCUAUUUUGGUCCCCCACAGUAAUUUUCGAACGGUCUCUUAUGGGAGAUAUGCCUAUAUCACAAUACAUGCUGUGGGUAGUGGUCUAAAAUGGACUGUAAUGGUCUAGCUAUAAAGGUCUAUAACACUCUGUAGUGGUGUAAUGGUCCAUAAUGGUCCGUGGUAUACAUAGUGGUCGGGCACCACGCUGUGUAGCUGUAUGCUUUGGUAUGACACCCUGCUAGCGUAUUUUUUAAUAUAUAUUUUUUUUAUUCAACCUUUAUUUAACUAGGCAAGCAGUAUUUGCGCUCUGCUCUGGUCUGUGAUUAGUUUGGACUGGUGCCUAAUGAAUACAAAGGGCCUUAUCUGAAGCUGGCCUGAUCAAACACAGCUUAAUAGAGUCCAGCAGCUUCAUAUUCAUGUAUGGACAAGGACAUUUGUCUUAACCCGCUGGGUUGCUGCAGCUAAAUGAGAUUUGAACACAAUGAAGAACACACUCGAGUGACACACUUGGCCCGGUGUGUGUUGUGUGUGUGUGCGCCGAUUGAAACUGAGGGGUCAUGUGCCAUCAGUGCUCCCUGAAGAUUAGCGGCAUGAUGCUUCUAUGUGUGUGUGAGUGUGUGUGUGUGUGUGUGUGUGUGUGUGUGUGUGUGUGUGUGUGUGUGUGUGUGUGUGUGUGUGUGUGUGUGUGUGUGUGUGUGUGUGCGCGCGCGCGCAGUGGUAUUUACGCCAUACAUUUUCCCUGACACCCAAAAUACAUUUUGAAUGCUUAGCAUCACAGGAAAAUUGUCCAAUUCACCCACAUAUAUCAAGAGAACACCCCUAGUCAUUCCUACUGCCUCUGAUCUGGUGGACUCACUAAACACCCAUGCUUCGUUUGUAAAUGAUGUCUGAGUGUUGGCGUGUGCCCCUGGCUAUCCGUACAUUUUCAAAACAACAAAAUGGUGUCAUCUAGAUUGCUUAAUAUAAGGAAUUAGAAAUUAUUUCUACUUUUACUUUUGAUGCUUAAGUAUAUUUAAAACCAAAUACUUACUUUUACUCAAGUAUUAUUUUACUGGUUGACUUCUACUUGAGUCACUUUCUAUGAAGGUAUCUUUACGUUUACUCUUUUACUCUUUUUAUUGAGUCAUUUUUCCACCACUGUGUGUGCUGGCGUUCAUGCUUGCGUGUGUGUGGACUGUGGAGGAAUUGCCUAGUGGUCAAAUCCAACGCCUUGGAAAUUAAGCCUGUGACUGGGAGUGGAUAAGACAACGGGAAUAGAAGAAGUAGAGGAGAACAAUUGAAAGAUAACUUCAACUGAAAACUCGAGAGAGAAAAAGCACGAACCUCAAAACACUGCUCUGAGACACGCUACCACUUCACGUAAACCUCCCUUUAGCUUAUCACCCUGUGUGUUUGUUUAAUGUAUGUGUGUCUGUGUGUUUUAGGACAUGCAUCUGAGUAACCUUACCUGGAGGCGUCAAAGCUAUCGUAGGAACCCACAGUGUAGUGUCGGAAGAGUUUCCUCUUGUCCGAGCGGUCAGCUCUUGUGUCUGUGGAAGAACAGGAGGACCGACAGUCAUUGACCACACCGACCGCAUGCAUGGCUACAGAAAUCAAUUCAUCAACAGUAAUAGAAAGAAUGAAAACAAAACAGCAGCAACAUGCAAACUGUGAAACUCCCGUACAAGAAAGUGCAGCUCUGCAAUCCAAUCAAAUGUGCAAACAAACAUAGACAUAUGGACACACUCCAGUUUUCAUUCUAAGGGUACACAACGAAUUACAAAUUACAAAUCGACCCCCAACCCCUACCACCCUGUAGGCACUUCAAGAAUAUAGAUCUGAAAGGAUUGGAUAAAGUGACAAUGACAACAACAUGCUGCAGAAGUGUGCACCACUGAAACACAAAUAACUACAAUCUCCUUUGGUAAAAAACACAACCCUUAAGCAAGAAAUCAACUCAAGCGACCAUCAACUGCGUAUGCACACACACACUCGCACACGCACACAGACACACACACACACACACGCACAGUUACCUCCAAAACGAACUUUCCUCCUGAUAGAGGCCGUUUUUUCCAUUUGCACUCCUAAAUGUCUCUUCCCUCUUUCUCUCCCUCACUUUAUGUCUUUCACAUGCACCCUCUCUCUCACUCUUAUUCUUUCAGACACUCUUUCUCUGUCUCUCCCUCGCUCUUCAUAUUUCUCUCUAUCCCUCUCUCUCAGAUGCAAUCAGUGACAGGGACAUGCCUUGAAUGCCCAGAAAUGCCCAAAUCCACAGUGUCUAGAGAAAAGCCGGAAAACCAGACAGGCAGUCCCACUAAGCGUUAAGGAUAGAAUCCGGUUUGAGAUCUGUGGUUACUGCUGAGAGGAGAACAUAAUGUAAAGGAGAAGAGAGAGAAUAAAGAGAGGAGGGAGGAGAAAGAGAUAAAUACUACAUCACAACAGGCCCACUCCGUAGCAACCACUGGUGUACUGUAGGGAGUUUGUUUCCAUGACCACCGAUCAAUGGAGAAGGUACAUGACGUACAUGUCUGGUCACUGUGAAGGUUUCCUUAGUGUGUGUGUCUACAUAUCUGAAUGUGUGGUUGUGCAGGGGAAGUGGUAGAGUAAUUGAAGGGCAUGCGUGUGUGUGUGUGUGUGUGGAAGAGGGGGGAUGGUUACGGAUUUGCUUACAGUUCAACGUGAAGGGGGGUCUUCGUUGACCUCCAUUUCCCUAUUUUCUACUUUUCCUCCCCCAUCCCUCCCUCCUUUGUUCCCUCCCUCCUACUGACACUAAUCUUACACAGUUUGGGGGAGUGGAAAAGACACAAAAUGAGCAAGAGAAAUGAAAGAUUAUUUAUGAGUAAUAAAUCAUCAUUGCAGGGCUUAAAGUAUUUGAGGGAUUACACGGCAGGCACGCCAACUAUAUGAUUGAAGUUCUGGAACAAACAGAAACACAGACAUGCCAAUACAAUAUUUAAUUGUUUUGCAAAUGGAGGAGAAAAUGUAAAUACAAAAUAGAGAAUAAGGACCUGUGUCUGUGCGUCAUUCUCUUUCUCAAAGAAAGACCUGCGUGUGUGUGUGUCUUUCCCUCUGUUUUCCUAUCUUUCCACCCACGAUGUCCAAGGGUGGACUUAGUGAUUUGGAUACCCCCAGGCAGAGGCCUGUCUUUUUACGAAAGAAAUUGUGUUAACUUAAGUCAUUUUUUUGUUCAAAUUCAAUCUUCUUUCUUUUUCAUUUCUCUGCUCUGAAAUUGUCACAUGCGUCGUAAACAACAGGUGUUGACUAACAGUGACAUGGUUACUUACGGGCACAACCCAACAAUGCAGAGAGAGAGAAAAUAGAGAAAUAAUAGAAAAGUCAUAAAACAUAAUAAUAAAAGUCACAAUAAAUACACAAUGAGUAACGAAAAUGUGUGUCGAGAACAUCGUCAGGGAAAUGACCGGACCAAGGUGCAGCGUGGUGAGCGUACAUUUCUUUUUAUUAUGAAUGUCGCCAACAAAACAAGAAACAACAAAAACGAACGUGAAGCUUACUAGGGCUACAGAGGCCACUAACAAAGUCAACUACCCACAACUAAGGUGGAAAAACAGGCUGCCUAAGUAUGAUUCCCAAUCAGAAACAACGAUAGACAGCUGUCCCUGAUUGAGAACCAUACCUGGCCAAAACAUAGAAACAGAAAACAUAGAAAUAAAGAAACUAGAAUGCCCACCCUAGUCACACCCUGGCCUAACCAAAAUAGAGAAUAAAAGCCUCUCUAUGGCCAGGGCGUGACAACAUGGCUAUAUACACAGGGUACCAGUACCGGGUCGAUGUGCAGGGGUACAAGGUAAUUGAGGUAGACAUAUACAUAUAACUAGGAAUAAAUUGACUAGCCAACAGGAUAGACAAUAAACAGUAGCAGCAGUGUAUGUGAUGAGUCAAAAAAGGUAGUGCAAAGAGGGUCAAUGCACAUAUUCCGUGUAGCUAUUUGGUUAACUUUUUAACUAACAUUGUAACUAACACAUGCCGUGAGGUAGCAGAGAGAACAGUCUAUGACUUGGGUGGCUGGAGUCUUUCACAAUUUUUAGGGCCUUCCUCUGACACCGCCAGGUAUAGAGGUCCUAGAUUGCAGGGAGCUCAGCCCCAGUGAUGUACAGGGCUGUACACACUACCCUAUGUAGCACGCCUUGCCAAGGAGUUGCCAUAACAAGCGGUGAUGCAGCCAGUCAAGAUGCUCUCAAUGGUGCAGCUGUUCAACUUUUUGAGGAUCUGAGGGCCCAUGCCAAAUCUUUUCAGCCAACUGAGGGGGAAGAGGCGUUGUUGUGCCCUCUUCACGACUGUGUUGAUGUAUGUGGAUCAUGAUAGAUCCUUAGUGAUGUGGACACCAAAGAACUUGAAGCUCUCAACCUGCUCCCCUACAGCCCCAUAGAUGUGAAUGGGGCCGUGCUCGGCCUUCCAUUUCCUGUAGUCCACGUUCAGUUCCUUUGCCUUGCUGACGUUGAGAGAGAUGUUGUCCUGGCACCACACAGCCAGGUCUCUGACCUCCUCCCUAUAGGCUGUCUCAUCGUCGUCUGUGAUCAGGCUUACCACUGUCGGUGUCAUCAGCAAACUAAAUGAUGGUGUUGGAGUCGUGCACCGCCACGCAGUCGUGGGUGAACAGGCAAUACAGGAAGGAGCUAAGCAUGCACCCCUGAGGGGCCCCCGUGUUGAGGGUCAGCUUGGCGUAUGUGUUGUUGCCUAGUCUCACCACCUGGGGAGCGGCCCGUCAGGAAGUUCCAGGCUCCAGUUGCAGAGGGAGGUGCUCAGUCUCAGGGUCCUUAACUUAGUGAUGAGCUUGGAGGGCACUAUGGUGUUGAACAGUGACCUGUAGUCAAUGAACAGCAUUCUCACAUAGGUGUUCCUCUUGUCCAGUUGAGAGAAAGCAGUGUGGAGUGCAAUAGAAAUUCUGUGGAUUUUUCAACACCAUCAUCCCAGACACCCUGGACCCACUUCUUUGAGGGAAGAUCAUGAUCAAUGGAAAGCAAAUUACGGACUCCUCUUUACAUCUGCAUAUACCUCCAAAGCUCAGUUGUCCUGAGUCUGCACAACUCUGCCAGGACCUAAGAUCAAGGGAGAGACUCCAGUUUUUUAAUACUAUACCUCUUGACACAUUGAUGAAAAUAAUCAUGGCCACUUAACAUUCAAGCUGCAUACUGGACCCUAUUCCAACUAAACUACUGAAAGAGCUGCUUGCUGUGCUUGGCUGCUUCCUAUGUUGAACAUAAUAAACGGCUCUCUAUCCACCGGAUGUGUACCAAACUCACUAAAAGUGGCAGUAAUAAAGCCUCUCUUGAAAAAGCCAAACCUUGACUAAGAAAAUAUUUUAAAAAAAUGAAUCGGCCUAUUUCGAAUCUCCCAUUCCUUCCAAUUUUUUGGGAAAAAGCUGUUGCGCAGCAACUCACUGCCUUCCUGAAGACAAACAAUGUAUACGAAAGAGAGAUUGGAAACCCAAAUUAGUCUACACGGACAGGUUCUGGCCUGGUUUAGAUCUUAUCUGUCGGAAAGAUAUCAGUUUGUCUCUGUGGAUGGUUUGUCCUCUGAAAAAUCAACUGUAAAUGUUCGUGUUCCUCAAGGCUCCGUUUUAGGACCACUAUUCUUUUCACUAUAUAUUUUACCUCUUGGUGAUGUCAUUCGGAACCAUAAUGCUAACGUUCACUGCUAUGCGGACGACACACAGCUGUACAUUUCGAUGAAACAUGGUGAAACCCCAAUGUUGCCCUCCCUGGAAGCCUGUGUUUCAGACAUAAGGAAGUGGUGGCUGCAAAUGUUCUACUUUUAAACAGAUGCUAGUUCUAGGUCCCAAGAAACAAAGAGAUCUUCGGUUGAUUCUGACAAUUAAUAUUGAUGGUUGUACAGUUGUCUCAAAUAAAACUGUGAAGGACCUUGGCGUUACUCUGGACCCUGAUCUCUCUUUUGACGAACAUAUCAAGACUGUUUCAAGGACAGCUUUUUUCCAUCUACGUAACAUUGCAAAAAUCAGAAACUUUCUGUCCAAAAAUGAUGCAGAAAAUUGUAUCGAUGCUUUUUUCCCUUCUAGGUUAGACUACUGCAAUGCUCUACCUUCUGGCUACUCGGAUAAAGCACUAAAUAAACUUCAGUUAGUGCUAAACACGGCUGUAGAAUCUUGACUUGAACCCAAAAAAUUUAUCAUAUUACUCCAGUGCUAGCCUCUCUACCCCUGCCUUCUGUUAAGGCAAGGGCUGAUUUCAAGGUUUUACUGCUAACCUACAAAGCAUUACAUGGGCUUGCACCUACCUAUCUUUCCGAUUUGGUCCUGCCGUACAUACCUACAAGUACACUAUGGUCACAAUACGCAGGCCUCCUUACUGUCCCUAGAAUUUCUAAGCAAACAGCUAGAGGCAGGGCUUUCUCCUAUAGAGCUCCAUUUUUAUGGAAUGGUCUGCCUAUCAAUGUGAGAGACGCAGACUCGGUCUCAACCUUUAAGUCUUAGGUCCUAUGAUUGAGUGUAGUCUGGCCCAGGAGUGUGAAGGUGAACGGAAAAGCACUGGAGCAACGAACCGCCCUUGCUGUCUCUGCCUGGCCGGUUCCCCUCUUUCCACUGGGAUUCUCUGCCUCAAACCUUAUUACAGGGGCUGGGUCGCUGGCUUCCUGGUGUCUUCCAUGCCAUCCCUAGGAGGGGUGCGUCAGUUGAGUGGGUUGAGUCACUGACAUGAUAUUCCUUUUUGGGUUGGCGCCCCACCUUGGGUUGUGCUGUGGGGGAGAUCUUCGUGGGCUAUACUCGGCCUUGUCUCAGGAUGGUAAGUUGUUGGUUGAAGAUAUACCUCUAGUGGUGUGGGGGCUGUUUUGGCAAAGUAGGUGGGGUUAUAUCCUGCCUAUUUGGCCCUGUCCGGGGUAUCGUUGGACGGCGUCACAGUGUCUCUCGACCCCUCCUGUCUCAGCUUCCAGUAUUUAUGCUGCAGUAGUUUAUGUGUCGGGGGGCUAGGGUCAGUCUGUUAUAUCUGGAGUACUUCUCCUGUCUUAUCCGGUGUCCUGUGUGAAUUUAACUAUGCUCUCUCUAAUUCUCUUUCUCUUUCUCUCUUUCUUUCUCUCUUUCUUUCUUUCUUUCUUUCUUUCUUUCUUUCUUUCUUUCUUUCGGAGGAGGACCUGAGCCCUAGGACCAUGCCUCAGGACUACCUGGCCUGAUGACUCCUUACUGUCCCCAAUCCAUCUGGUCGUGCUGCUGCUCCAGUUUUAACUGUUCUGCCUGCGGCGAUGGAACCCUAACCUGAUCACCAGACGUGCUACCUGUCCCAGACCUGCUGUUUUCAACUCUCUAGAGACAGCAGGAGCGGUAGAGAUACUCUGAAUGAUCGGCUAUGAAAAGCCAACUGACAUUUACUCCUGAGGUGCUGACCUGUUGCACCCACGACAACCACUGUGAUUAUUAUUAUUUUUGAACAUUUGAACAUCUUGGCCAUGUUCUGUCAUAAUCUCCACCUGGCACAGCCAGAAGAGGACUGGCCACCCCUCAUAGCCUGGUUCCUCUCUAGGUUUCUUCCUAGGUUCUGGCCUUUCUAGGAAGUUUUUCCUAGCCACCGUACUUCUACACCUGCAUUGCUUGCUGUUUGGGGUUUUAGGCUGGGUUUCUGUACAUCACUUUGUGACAUCAGCUGAUGUAAGAAGGGCUUUAUAAAUACAUUUGAUUGAUUGAUGUUCUGUGUAUGUAUGGUGGGACAUUUUUGGAACAUUCUCCUAACCAUCAGAAAACUGGACAUAUGAAUGCUCUUGCAACAUUCCCAUGAAACGUACCUAGAACAUUAAUAUCUUAUGUUGUAGGAACAUGGCAACCAUGUUAUGUGUAGGUUUAGUGGGACGUUGAUGAGAUAUUCUCCGAACACACAGAAAACUGAACACAUGAAUAUCCUUGCAACAUCCCAUAAAACAUGUCUAGAACAUUGUUGUAUAUUCCUUGUAACCACAUUCUAGAUAAUUUAUGCUUGACAUAAAGGGAAUGUUCUCCUAACUUUAACACCAAAACAUGCUAAAAAGAUUCUUAGAAGGUGUUUGCUAACAUAGAUUGAAUUUUCCUCUAACUAAUGGAAAAAUUUAGGGAACAUUAAGGGUAACAUUACAAAAAGGUUCUCCCUAGAAUUUUAAGCUGGGCAGUUACAGAUUUGCCAAUAUAAAAACUGUCCCCUUUAAAAAUAAAUUAGAGUACUAAGUACAUGUAAGUAAGGUAGACAAUCAGACUCAAUCUUCACACUUAAGUCCUGCUAUCCAUGCAUUCGCAAUGAACAUGUGCAAGGCCCGGUCUUGAUGAGACUGCCCCUGUGAGGGUUUGUGCUAGCUAGCUACUUCCAUACUUUGUUCCCUUUUUCUGACAGGCAUUCUUUGGGGCAGCCCUAAGGUACUUCUGAUCUGGCAAUGUGUGAAAUGAGUUCUCUCUGCCAAGAGCUCCAGGGCUGGUUCGAAAGGGGUGUCGCAGGGAGGGGGUGAGAACAGCCAGACAGGAAAAAGGGGGCAUGUUGCGCCCCAUCUGCCAAUAUAUAUAUAUACAGUAACAGUCAAAAGUUUGGACACACCUACUCUACAUUGUAGAAUAAUAUCACAUAUUUAGAAUCAUGUAGUAACCAAAAAAGUGUUAAACAAUUAUAAAUAUAUUUUGGCUGCAAUUUCUGAUGUGCAGGUAUCUCUAUUGAACUUAUUCUCUGCAGCAGAGGUAACUCUGGGUCUUCCUUUCCUGUGGCGGUCCUCAUAAGAGCCAGUUUCAUCAUAGCACUUGGCUGACCUUGGCUGACCUUCAUGUCUUAAAGUAAUGAUGGACUGUCGUUUCUCUUUGCUUAUUUGAGCUGCUUUUGCCAUAAUAUGGACAUAGUCUUUUACCAAAUAGGGAUAUCUUCUGUAUACCACCCUUAUCUUGUCACAACACAACUGAUUGGCUCAAACACAUUAAGAAGGAAAGUUUUAACAAGGCACUUCUGUUAAUUGUGCAUUCCAAAUGUCUACCUCAUGAAUCUGGUUGUGAGAAUGCCAAGAGCAUGCACAGCUGUCAUCAAGGCAAAGGGUGGAUACUUUGAAUCUCAAAUAUAAAAUAUAUUUCAAUUUUUUAAAACACUUUAGGUUACUACAUGAUUCCAUAUUUGUUAUUUCAUAGUUUUGAGGUCUUCACUAUUAUUUUACAAUGUAGAAAAUAGUAAAAAUAUAGAAAAACCCUUGAAUGAGUAGGUGUGUCCAAACUUUUGACUGGUACAAUAUACAGUGCCUUCGGAAAGUAUUCAGACCCCUUGAAUUUUUCCAAAUUAUGUUACGUUACAGCCUUAUUCUAAAAUUGAUUAAAUCUACACACAAUACCCCAUAACGACAAAGCAAAAAUUGUUUUUUAGAAAUGUCUCCAAAUUUAUUACAAAUAAAAAAAAAACAGAAAUAUCACAUUUACAUAAGUAUUCAGGUGCUUUACUCAAUACUUUGUUGAAACACCUUCGGCAGCGAUUACAGCCUCGAGUCUUCUUGGGUAUGACCCUACAAGCUUGGGACACCUGUAUUUGUGGAGUUUAUUCCAUUCUUCUCUGCAGAUCCUGUCAAGCUCUGUCAGGUUGGAUGGGGAGAGUUGCUGCACAGCUAUUUUUCCAGAGAUGUUUGAUCGGGUUCAAUUCCGAGCUCUGGCUGGGCCACUCAAGGAAAUUCAGAAGCCACUCCUGUGUUUUCUUGGCUGUGUGCUUAGGGUCGUUGUUCUGUUGGAAGGUGAACCUUCGUUUGAGGUCCUGAGUGCUCUGGAGCAGGUUUUCAUUAAGGAUCACUUUGCACCUUGCUCCGUUCAUUAAGAUGUGCAAAAGAACACAGACUCUGGACAGAGGAACUCUGCUUAGAAGGCCAGCAUCCCGGAGUCGCCUCUUCACUGUUGACGUUGAGACUGAUGUUUUGCUUUUUUAAUCAGUAAAACAGUUAUCAGCUGUGCUAACAUCAUUGUUUUCUAAUGAUAAAUUAGCCUUUUAAAUGAUAAACAUGGAUUAGCUAACACAACGUGCCAUUGGAACACAGGAGUGAUGGUUGCUGAUAAUGGGCCUCUGUACGCCUAUGUAGAUAUUCCAUAAAAAAUCUGCCAUUUC